rnacentral:rRNA from 1 species
AUUGAACGCUGGCGGCAUGCUUUACACAUGCAAGUCGAACGGCAGCGCGGGCUUCGGCCUGGCGGCGAGUGGCGAACGGGUGAGUAAUGCAUCGGAACGUGCCCAGUAGUGGGGGAUAGCCCGGCGAAAGCCGGAUUAAUACCGCAUACGACCUGAGGGUGAAAGCGGGGGACCGAAAGGCCUCGCGCUAUUGGAGCGGCCGAUGUCGGAUUAGCUAGUUGGUGGGGUAAAGGCUUACCAAGGCGACGAUCCGUAGCUGGUGUGAGAGGAGGACCAGCCACAGUGGAAAUGAGACACGGGCCAGACGCCGCAGGGAGGCACCAGUGGGGGAGAGGGGACAAUGGGGGCAAGUCUUAUACAGCGAUACCGCGUGGGGGAAGAAGGCCUGCGGGUUGGAAAGAGGGUUUGUGGGGAAAGAAAAGCAGCAGGCGAAUAACACGGUGAGCGGACGGUACACAAAGAAUAAGCACCGGCUAACUUCGUG